AGGGGUAGAGCUCAGUGGUAGAGCAUGUGCUUAGCAUGCACAAGGUCCUAGGUUCAAUCCCCGGUAUCUCCA
rnacentral:tRNA from 1 species